UGAUCCCUUUCUUUUUUUGGC
rnacentral:miRNA from 1 species